UCAGAUAAUUGAGUUUCUAGUCAUAAGCAUGUGCUGUUACCAUAGGGGGUUUGAUGAUAAUUAAGAAGUUCUUGGUUAAACAGCAUUGCUUAAAACACAUAAUAUGGAUAACACCACUCCCAGGAAGAUGGAGCCUUGGUCUCAGACUGAUAGUUUCCCAUUGCCGAUAUGAUGUAAAUUAUUACAGUAUCAACAGCAUUGAUUUUCCAA
rnacentral:lncRNA from 1 species